UAGGGAAUAUUAGAAAUGGACGAAAGUCUGAUCUAGCAACACCGCGUGUGCGAAGAAGGCCUUCGGGUCGUAAAGCACUUUUUGGAAGGAAUAGGAAGGAAUGUACUUCCAGAAUAAGUCUCGGCUAACUACGUGCCAGCAGCCGCGGUAACACGUAGGAGGCGAACGUUAUCCGGAUGUACUGGGCGUAAAGCGCGUGUAGGUGGUUCGGUAAGUAGGGCGUGAAAGCUCCUGGCUCAACGGGGAGAGGCCGUUCUAAACUACAGAACUAGAGGAUGGUAGAGGGAGGUGGAAUUCCAGGUGGAGCGGUGGAAUGCGCAGAUAUCUGGAGGAACACCAGUGGCGAAGGCGGCCUCCUGGACCAUUCCUGACACUCAGACGCGAAAGCUAGGGUAGCAAACG
rnacentral:rRNA from 1 species